rnacentral:tRNA from 1 species
GGGGGCAUAGCUCAGCUGGGAGAGCGGCAGCUUUGCAAGCUGUAGGUCAGGGGUUCGAAUCCCCUUGCCUCCACCA